ensembl:lincRNA
GACAGACUCAAUUCAGAGUGAAGAGUAAGCUUUCAGAUACUUUUCAUUGCAUUUAUAUUAUAAACUCCAUUUGGUGGGUGAAUAUCACUGUAAGCCUCAGCAUUCAUAUGCUAAUGUUAUAAGUUGGAGUUGUCAAGAGAAUUAUGCACAGGCUUGAGUACAUGUGUGUGUGAGUGAGUGAUAUUUGUGUUUGCCAAAGCAGCAUGUGCUCCUAAAGGGAGAGUGUGUCUUAUCUUACUAGCUGUCUGGUCUCAGUUUCUCUCUCUAAUGUGCCAGGAAGAAAAUGUCUUCAUCACUGAAUAUUUUGGUGAUGCACAGAUUCCAGGAUGCCUUCCAGUGACCACUCAAAUGAUGAUGAGCUGCCAAGCUAUAAAUCCUUGA